GAUGAACGCUAGCUACAGGCUUAACACAUGCAAGUCGUGGGGCAGCGGAUACUUAGCUUGCUAAGUAUGCCGGCGACCGGCGCACGGGUGAGUAACGCGUACCGAACCUGCCCAUCACACAGGGAUAGGCUUGCGAAAGCAAGAUUAAUACCUGAUAGUCUCAGUUGUAUGCAUGUAUGAUUGAGUAAAGCCUUCGGGCGGUGAUGGAUGGCGGUGCGUCCCAUUAGGAAGUUGGCGGGGUAACGGCCCACCAAUCCUUCGAUGGGUAGGGGUUCUGAGAGGAAGGUCCCCCACAUUGGAACUGAGAUACGGUCCAAACUCCUACGGGAGGCAGCAGUGAGGAAUAUUGGUCAAUGGGCGAGAGCCUGAACCAGCCAAGUAGCGUGCGGGAAGAAGGCCCUUGUGGUCGUAAACCGCUUUUAUCAGUGAAUAAAGUGCAUCACGUGUGGUGUCAUUGCAGGUAGCUGAAGAAAAAGGACCGGCUAAUUCCGUGCCAGCAGCCGCGGUAAUACGGAAGGUCCGGGCGUUAUCCGGAAUUAUUGGGUUUAAAGGGAGCGCAGGCGGGAGUGUAAGUCAGCUGUUAAAUAUCAGGGCCCAACUCUGUUAUGCAGUUGAAACUAUAUUUCUUGAGUACGCACAGGGAUGGCGGAAUUCAGGGUGUAGCGGUGAAAUGCGUAGAUAUAUGGAGGAACACCAGUGGCGAAGGCGGCUCUCUGGUCUGUAACUGACGCUGAGGCUCGAAAGCGUGGGGAGCAAACAGG
rnacentral:rRNA from 1 species